rnacentral:rRNA from 2 species
GGACCUGAUAUCAAACAAGACUACCC